AGAGCAAGGACGCGGGGGAACAGAGAUGAUCCGAGCCGCGCCGCCGCCGCUGUUCCUGCUGCUGCUGCUGCUAGUGUCCUGGGCGUCCCGAGGCGAGGCAGCCCCCGACCAGGACGAGAUCCAGCGCCUCCCCGGGCUGGCCAAGCAGCCGUCUUUCCGCCAGUACUCCGGCUACCUCAAAGGCUCCGGCUCCAAGCACCUCCACUACUGGUCUGCCGCCCUGCCUUCUGGGCGGGAUUGGGAGAAGAGAUGACGGAUGAGGGAUGGGGGGUAGUUCUGCAGACCCCUGAGGAUGCCUGGGAGCCGGGAGGGCUGGAAAGGGCCCCUCCAACUGCGCCAACCCUGCCCUGACCCCCCUCCCAGGUUUGUGGAGUCCCAGAAGGAUCCCGAGAACAGCCCUGUGGUGCUUUGGCUCAAUGGGGGUCCCGGCUGCAGCUCCCUAGAUGGGCUCCUCACAGAGCAUGGCCCCUUCCUGGUCCAGCCAGAUGGUGUCACCCUGGAGUACAACCCCUAUUCUUGGAAUCUGGUAUAGCUGGAGCUGUGGGUGUGUCUGGGCACUUGGAUGGGGUGGCAUU
rnacentral:sRNA from 1 species